GAACUGAAGAGUUUGAUCAUGGCUCAGAUUGAACGCUGGCGGCAGGCCUAACACAUGCAAGUCGAGCGGAUGAAGGGAGCUUGCUCCUGGAUUCAGCGGCGGACGGGUGAGUAAUGCCUAGGAAUCUGCCUGGUAGUGGGGGAUAACGUCCGGAAACGGGCGCUAAUACCGCAUACGUCCUGAGGGAGAAAGUGGGGGAUCUUCGGACCUCACGCUAUCAGAUGAGCCU
rnacentral:rRNA from 1 species